CACGUAGUUAGCCGUGACUUGCUGGUCAGAUACCGUCAGCGUCAUAGCAGUUACUCUAUCACGUGUUCUUCUCUGACAACAGUAUUUUACGAUCCGAAGACCUUCUUCAUACACGCGGCGUUGCUCCAUCAGACUUGCGUCCAUUGUGGAAGAUUCCCUACUGCUGCCUCCCGUAGGAGUUUGGGCCGUGUCUCAGUCCCAAUGUGGCCGAUCAACCUCUCAGUUCGGCUACGUAUCAUCACCUUGGUAAGCCGUUACCUUACCAACUAGUUAAUACGCCGCGGGCUCAUCCAAAAGCGACAGCUGACGCCGUCUUUGCCCGGCCGACCAUGCGGUCAGCCGGUUGAUGCGGUAUUAGCACCUGUUUCCAAGUGUUAUCCCCCACUUUUGGGCAGAUUGCCCACGUGUUACUCACCCGUUCGCCACUCGCACUUAAAACGCUGAGUGCAAGCACUCAUUGUUAAAAGAUUGCGUUCGACUUGCAUGUAUUAGGC
rnacentral:rRNA from 1 species